GGGUUGUGAGGUUAAGCGACUAAGCGUACACGGUGGAUGCCCUGGCAGUCAGAGGCGAUGAAGGACGUGCUAAUCUGCGAUAAGCGCCGGUAAGGUGAUAUGAACCGUUAUAACCGGCGAUUUCCGAAUGGGGAAACCCAGUGUGACUCGUCACACUAUCAUUAACUGAAUCCAUAGGUUAAUGAGGCGAACCGGGGGAACUGAAACAUCUAAGUACCCCGAGGAAAAGAAAUCAACCGAGAUUCCCCCAGUAGCGGCGAGCGAACGGGGAGGAGCCCAGAGCCUGAAUCAGCAUGUGUGUUAGUGGAAGCGUCUGGAAAGGCGCGCGAUACAGGGUGACAGCCCCGUACACAAAAGCGCAUGUGCUGUGAGCUCGAUGAGUAGGGCGGGACACGUGGUAUCCUGUCUGAAUAUGGGGGGACCAUCCUCCAAGGCUAAAUACUCCUGACUGACCGAUAG
rnacentral:rRNA from 1 species